GAACCUUCGGGUUAGUGGCGGACGGGUGAGUAACGCGUGGGAAUCUGCCCUCAGGAGGGGGAUAACGGCUGGAAACGGCCGCUAAUACCCCAUAUGCCGAGAGGUGAAAUGAAUUUCGCCUGAGGAUGAGCCCGCGUCUGAUUAGCUUGUUGGUGAGGUAAUGGCUCACCAAGGCUUCGAUCAGUAGCUGGUCUGAGAGGAUGAUCAGCCACACUGGGACUGAGACACGGCCCAGACUCCUACGGGAGGCAGCAGUGGGGAAUUUUCCGCAAUGGGCGAAAGCCUGACGGAGCAACGCCGCGUGAGGGAUGAAGGCCUCUGGGCUGUAUACCUCUUUUCUCAAGGAAGAAGAUAUGACGGUACUUGAGGAAUAAGCCACGGCUAAUUCCGUGCCAGCAGCCGCGGUAAUACGGGAGUGGCAAGCGUUAUCCGGAAUUAUUGGGCGUAAAGCGUCCGCAGGCGGCUUUUCAAGUCUGCUGUUAAAGCGUGGAGCUUAACUCCAUCAUGGCAGUGGAAACUGAAAGGCUUGAGUAUGGUAGGGGCAGAGGGAAUUCCCGGUGUAGCGGUGAAAUGCGUAGAUAUCGGGAAGAACACCAGUGGCGAAGGCGCUCUGCUGGGCCAUUACUGACGCUCAUGGACGAAAGCCAGGGGAGCGAAAGGGAUUAGAUACCCCUGUAGUCCUGGCCGUAA
rnacentral:rRNA from 1 species